rnacentral:rRNA from 1 species
AUAACCCACAAUGCCACGCUGAACACGCCCAAUCUCAACUGAAUUUGGAAGCUUAGAAGGUCUUGGGCUUGGUUAAGAGGACCUGGGUGGGAGACCACCUCGGAUGUCCAGAUAGGGAUAGG